rnacentral:misc_RNA from 1 species
AAGUCGUAACAAGGUAACCGUAGGUGAACCUGCGGUUGGAUCAUUAACAAAUUUUAUUGAAUUUACUUUCCUUAAAAAAAAAUGGGAAAGUUUAAUUCUUUAACACUUUUGUGAACUGUUUAUUGUCUCUUGAUGGGUAACGGAAAUUUUUUUUAAAAAAAAUUCUUAUUUGAAAGUGUAAAAAACUUCUCAAUUCCCAUCAAUUUUUUUUUAACAUUAACUUGAAUAAAUUUAUUUGUCUUUAAUUUUGAAUUAUAUUUUAAUUUAAAAACAACUUUUAACAACGGAUCUCUAGGCUCUCA